AAUAAAAAUAUGGUCCAAACUAUUAAUAAACAUUCAACCCAUAAAUAUCAGCCCAAAAGUAAAUUAAAAUAAUGAUCUGACCCAUUACAUGACAUUCCAUGUUAAAAAAAUAAAAUAAAAUAAAAUAUACAUGGAUGGAUCUAGAAUAGGAAACAUUUUGUUAUUUGUUUUUCUUUGUCUGAACAAUUACCUGCAUCUUUAGUUUUUUUCAAUGUUGAUUAAAAAAUGGCAGAUUCUUGUUCCUAUUAAUUUCCUUUUCCAUUUUUAAAGUAAAAUUUCUUCUUCUUUAAUUAUAUAGAGUUAGCAUCCUCUUCCAAAUUUUCUCAUUUGGUGAUUUAACUUGAUUUUAUGGAUUUAAUUUGUAACAUCCUUAUUCAUAUCUGCUGAUUGUAUCAAAAUCUCAUUACUGUCUUCAUUCACAACUCGGUAAUAUUUUAAUUUUUAAGGUAAAAAACUAAGCUCAAAUAUGUUUUUUCAUUAUGAAAUCGAAAUGGGUCCCUGUAAUUUGUCAUUUUUGCAAUAUUUUCAAUUAACAUUUUCUACCUUAUUAUUUGUUUUCGUUUCUGAUUUGAACAUGCAAAUGAGAUCUGAGCUUGAUGCAGCUGAUAAUAAUCAUUAUAAGCCGGGACGACAUGGUUAAGUUACCAAAAUUUGUUGUUUAUACUUAUUCUUCAGGCAUGUGUUAUACUUUUCUAUUGAUGUAAGGAUGAAUCUAUGGUAGAUAUUAUGUAUUUUAUGUCCAAAUUGGUCUAAUCUGCUAUAAAACUGGGGUUUGAUUUGUUGGUAGUUUGUGACUUUCAGUGUCUUGAUUAGAUUGGUAAGCAUCCAUGUUGAUUUGUUUUUGCAUGUGGUGGUGUAUCUACUGAAAAUAGUAGAAUUGAUCUGCAAAACUUUCUAAAAUUGUGUUUUUAUCUCGAACAAAACAGUAGUAUUAUAUUUUAUAUUUUUAUAUCAAUUAUACUCUGAUUUUGGAAAUGGUUUUGAAUGACAAUUCAUAGUAUCAUUUAUAGUGCUGUUAUACUCGAGUUUUGCAAUUAACCUUGAGAUUUAUUCAAGAUUUAUUAAUGUAAAAUUUUUGUUUCUUGUCAAUCGGAUUCUGUUACUAUCUCUACUUUCUUUUACCUAAAUUAUGUACUAUUGUGUUGUAAUUUCUUUUCUAUUAAUAUCAGCUGCUUUGCAUACUUAUCUGAUGUUUUUUGUACUCCUUACACUUUCUCAAAAUUGCUUAUGGAUGUUUUGCUUGAGCUGAGGGUCUACUACUGGAAAAAAACUCACAACCUCUGUGAUAGGGGUAAAGAUUGCAUACACUCUACCUUAUUGAGACUCCAUUUUGUAGGACUAAUCUAUGUAUGAAGUUGUUGUCGUAGAUGCUUGUUGCCGCUGUAUUCCCAUUUUUGAUGAUUAUUAUGUGUGAUUCAAAUCGGAGUGCUUAUUUGUUCUAAGUUGUUGGAAAAACAAAUGAGAUUGAAAGUGGAUGUGGACAUAAUAUUAUGUCUCAUGGCUUAUUAGUUUCAAUAUUUCACAUGCAUUAAUGGCUUAUAUUACUGCUGCUUGUAUAUAUAUAGAUAUAGUUGUUGAUAUCAUCACUUCAUUUCAUCGAUUUGUUAAGAAUGAUAUGAUGACUGGUCUGAAAUAUCCCAUGAAAGAUAAAACAGUCACAGCGUCGUCCAUUCAUGCGAGUAUUCCUUUUCUACAAUACGAUUGCCUGAGACAAUGAAUUAGGAGUGUGAAUGGGGUGUUGAUUAUACGGUGCUUGCACUUUUCAAAGAUGUGGUGUAUCACUGGUGUGUUUUUCUUAAUCAUUGGCACUGUAAUUUGGAUUUUGGAACAAAGAUUAAAUGAUGAUUUUCGUGGACCUCCAAGUAAACAGCUUGUCUCUGUUUUAUGGUUCAACUUUUCAACUCUCUUUACUGCCCAGAGAGAAAACACUGUCAGCACCCUUGGCCGCAUUGUCCUACUUAUAUGGCUAUUUUGUGUUUUUGACAGUAAAUUCAAGCUACACUGCCAGUCUCACAUCAAUUCUUACCGUGCAGAAACUUUCUUCACCAAUUACAGGAAUUGAAGUUUCGUAAAUACAAAGGAACCUAACGGUUAUCAGUUGGGUUCAUUUUCUCAUAAUUAUCUGAUUCAAGAACUGCUCAUUGAUGAAUCUAGACUUGUUCCUCUUAAUCUGCCUGGAGAUUAUGCUAGAGCUUUAAAAGAUGGUCCUGGCCAUGGUGGUGUUGCAGCAAUAGUAGAUGACCGUGCAUAUGUGGAGUUUUUCCUUUCAACGCGUUGCCAAUUCAGUAUUCUGGGUCAAGAAUUCAAAAAAAAUGGAAGGGGGUUUGUAAGUAGCUCUCUGUCAACUUCACCUUUCUGCUUUUACAUGUCUCGACUUUCCCUUUAUUAUACAUGUGAACCUGCCUUUGUGAAUUUAUCUCACUCUGUGAUGAAUUGACCAUAUUAUUAGCUAUCAAUAUUAACAACAUAAAGAGAUGAUGAAAUCGUGAAUCCUGUGAAUUCAAGUUUAGAAAAAUUGAUAAUGCAUGAGAAGUCUGUGCAUCUAACACUUGCAAAUCUGACAAGAAAAGUCUUUUUUCUACUGAUGCAUGGUUUUCUCCUUUGCUCCUUGUGAUAAGGAAUGAUUCUGCUUGGAAAAUGCUGACUAAACAUGCUCCUGAAGGUGAAUCAUACUACUAUUAGCUCAAUAUAUAAAAAGAGACUGAAAAUUUGGAAGUAUAAUUAUUAAAAUAAUUGAAUAAAAUGUACAAAGAGAAUAAUCAAAUAGGAUAAACAGUCAUAAAGAACUUACGUAAAAUCUAACUUUAUCCUAUGUUGGAUUACGGGUAUGGGUCACCCAUGUGGACCGACUCGACCUGACCCGACCAACCCGACCUGUUUCUUAUCAGGAAAAUAAGAUUAUUACAUAAUCUUAAUUCAAAAGAAAAAGAGGGGAGCAGUUGUAACCGUUCCCGCUCCAAAAGAUCUCAUAUAUGAUCUUAAUUCUUCUUCUCUUUUCUGAUAAGUGCAAGAGAGAAAAUACAGAGAGAAAAAUUGGGUCUUGAAAAAAUAGAAUCAAAAUUGACACAACACCAAACAAAAGCAUUUAGUUCGUGAAAUAUCAUUCCGUUUCCACAAGAAACGUAAUCGACUUAGAGCAAAAUCUUUUCGGAAGCAAAAACUACGAUCCGCUGCAAAUUUUAAGGUACACAACUUAUUGUUUUGCUCCAAAAUUACUUUCAAUGGUAUCAGAGUCAGGUUAAAUUGCUCCGAUUUACAUGAUUUUGAUGUUGAGUUUAAGUUUAACUCUUCUUAUAAUUGAAAAUGGACAUACCUAUAAGAGAUCAAUGUAGUCCAGAACGUAAUCACAAUUUUGAACCACGGAUUUUGGUGCUGAUCUUUUUCCUUCGUUUGAUGACAUAACUCUGUUAAUUCUGUGAAAUAAAAAAAAAAAAUAAAGGAGAAGGAGUAG